CAUGACGUCUGAGGUCAGAGGCUAAAAGGUGAUUACGAGCUUUUAUAUUUGUCAAUGAUUACGAGUCAAGAAACUACUGUCAGUAUUAUUCUUUUAUAUAUGUCAAUGGUAUUAUUAGACAUCGUUCAAAAUGGAUCCUGAAGAAUACCAAAAGAUAGUUAAUUAUAAAGUGAAACGCCAGUAUCCAGCAAACUUGUCAAAAACCGAAAAGUUGCUCCUUCGCAGAAAAGCUGGCCUUUAUGAUGUUGAAGGGGACGAGCUCUACUACACCCGCUAUAAAGGGACUGCAAAAUCUGGGAAAACAAAAGUGAUCCGUGGUGCUGGUGAAGCAGACAACAUUUUUCGUGACUUUCAUGCAAGCCCAUGGGCACACUGGCCAGACCAAAACCCGGGAGAGCAUAUCCCGCAGAUUUUACUGGCCGGGGACGUCAGUUGAUAUCAACAAGUAGGUUUCCCAAUGCUCUGCAUGCCAGGCGGCUACCAUAACAAUUAAAAAGCCAACAGAGUACACCCCAAUAAAGGUCACUCAACCAUUUGAAUUGGUAGGGAUGGACCUGGUCGGAAAAUUGUCCACAACAAAAAAUGGACAUCAAUAUAUUUGUGUCAUGAUAGACUAUUUUACUAAAUGGCCACAGGCUUACCCUCUGAAAUCGCCAAGUCAGCCAAGGAGGUGACUUCUUGCAUCCUAAAAUUUGUCCAUCAGUUUGAAGCCCCAAAAAGGAUUCUAACUGACCAGGGCAAAGAAUUUGUCAAUUCCAUCAACAAGACAGUUUGUGAGAUUUUAAACAUCAAAAGGAGCCUGUGCUCACCUUAUCAUCCGCAAACUAAUGGUUUGGUUGAGCGGAUAAAUGGCACAAUUCAGAGGACGUUGUGGGGCAGGAAGUUGUGGCCCAAGACAUACAACAACAACAACAACAGUUAAUGGACCUUGUUCAACAAAACCUGGCCAAGGGAGAUGAAAAAACAAAAAACAAAGGAAAAGCCAGUGAGAAAACCCCAGUCUUCCAAGUCGGGGACAGUGUUUUGAGGCAAAACAUUAGGAGCCAACAAAGGAAGGGGGGGAAAUUGGAGGCACAUUUUGUAGGGCCAUUCAUAAUCAUGGCAGUGGAACAUAUAAGUGCUGAUCUGCAGGAUGAAAAUGGAGCACUCCUGCGCAAAAUAAACAUUGACCAGCUCAAACACAACAUUAGGGAAACACCCCGAGUGCCACACUGGGGGGAUAAAACCAAACGCAAUGCUCCAGUGGGUGCUACAACAGCUCCCCAGCUGGCUGCAGCCCCACUGGCCGCAGCCCCCCAGCAGACCACAGCUCCACCAGCCUCAGCUCGAAGGCAUCGAGCUGCUACACCAGCCGUAGCCACCCAGGAGCCAGCAGCUGCAGCCCCCCAGCAGCCAGCAGCUCCACUGGCCGCAACAUCGGCAGCACUUCAAUACAAUCAAGCUGUUGCUGAGAAAUAUGUACAGGAUGCUUGGGCAGGAAGGGAUGCCCAUGUAGCCUCGUGAGACCGUCCUGAUCUCGCGAGCUCCAGUUUUCCACUCGCAGAUCAGUCUGGCAUCUUG